rnacentral:rRNA from 1 species
UACGUAGGGUGCGAGCGUUGUCCGGAAUUAUUGGGCGUAAAGAGCUCGUAGGCGGCUUGUCGCGUCGGAUGUGAAAGCCCGGGGCUUAACUCCGGGUCGGCAUUCGAUACGGGCAGGCUAGAGUUCGGUAGGGGAGAUCGGAAUUCCUGGUGUAGCGGUGAAAUGCGCAGAUAUCAGGAGGAACACCGGUGGCGAAGGCGGAUCGCUGGGCCGAUACUGACGCUGAGGAGCGAAAGCGUGGGGAGCGAACAGG